rnacentral:rRNA from 1 species
CUUUCCUCCCGAGUGCUUGCACUCAAUUGGAAAGAGGAGUGGCGGACGGGUGAGUAACACGUGGGUAACCUACCCAUCAGAGGGGGAUAACACUUGGAAACAGGUGCUAAUACCGCAUAACAGUUUAUGCCGCAUGGCAUAAGAGUGAAAGGCGCUUUCGGGUGUCGCUGAUGGAUGGACCCGCGGUGCAUUAGCUAGUUGGUGAGGUAACGGCUCACCAAGGCCACGAUGCAUAGCCGACCUGAGAGGGUGAUCGGCCACACUGGGACUGAGACACGGCCCAGACUCCUACGGGAGGCAGCAGUAGGGAAUCUUCGGCAAUGGACGAAAGUCUGACCGAGCAACGCCGCGUGAGUGAAGAAGGUUUUCGGAUCGUAAAACUCUGUUGUUAGAGAAGAACAAGGACGUUAGUAACUGAACGUCCCCUGACGGUAUCUAACCAGAAAGCCACGGCUAACUACGUGCCAGCAGCCGCGGUAAUACGUAGGUGGCAAGCGUUGUCCGGAUUUAUUGGGCGUAAAGCGAGCGCAGGCGGUUUCUUAAGUCUGAUGUGAAAGCCCCCGGCUCAACCGGGGAGGGUCAUUGGAAACUGGGAGACUUGAGUGCAGAAGAGGAGAGUGGAAUUCCAUGUGUAGCGGUGAAAUGCGUAGAUAUAUGGAGGAACACCAGUGGCGAAGGCGGCUCUCUGGUCUGUAACUGACGCUGAGGCUCGAAAGCGUGGGGAGCAAACAGGAUUAGAUACCCUGGUAGUCCACGCCGUAAACGAUGAGUGCUAAGUGUUGGAGGGUUUCCGCCCUUCAGUGCUGCAGCAAACGCAUUAAGCACUCCGCCUGGGGAGUACGACCGCAAGGGUUGAAACUCAAAGGAAUUGACGGGGGCCCGCACAAGCGGUGGAGCAUGUGGGUUUAAUUCGAAGCAACGCGAGAACCUUACCAGGUCUUGACAUCCUUUGACCACUCUAGAG